rnacentral:rRNA from 1 species
AUGCCUAACAUAUUGUACUUCCAGCAUGGUGAAUUUAUUAGUGCUCUCGACUUGGCUGAGGGAGAAAGGAUUGGGAGGAGUGCUUUUCUAGACAACAUCAAAUCUCUGUACCACGGCUUUGUGCCCCUGAUACUCCCGGCAUGGCUCCCCAGGGCAGCUAAAAUUUUGGCUCUUGGUUGGAUUAUUGCCAAUAUUUUGAUUCCUUACAAUGGACCGACAACUGAGCUGAUGGAGGUACUGGAAGACAUGAAUUCUCAUUUUGGGGAAAUUCUGGGUCAAUCUUGGCAUGCUUCGUUUGCUGACGCGCUCUCUGGACCAUGUUCUUGGCGCACCAGGUAA